UCUGUGUAAAUGCAUGAACCACAGCAGAUGUACUGUGCUGCAGUUUAGCUUGUGAUGGUUUUACUCCAGGAUGGACUGACAACCAGCAGCAGCAGACCUCUGUCAUCACGUGACCUCGUCAGCAGCUCUGCGCCCGUGGACAUCUGCAAAAUGGAGGAUCGUGAAUCUAAAGAACCUGAGCAGCUCAGAAAGCUGUUUAUUGGAGGUCUGAGCUUUGAAACCACGGAGGAGAGUUUACGGGCCCAUUUUGAACAAUGGGGGACUCUCACAGACUGUGUGGUGAUGAGGGAUCCCAACAGCAAGCGAUCAAGAGGGUUUGGCUUUGUAACAUACUCGUCUGUAAGGGAAGUCGAUGAUGCCAUGAAGGCAAGGCCCCAUAAAGUAGAUGGCCGGGUUGUUGAGCCCAAAAGGGCCGUAUCUAGAGAGGACUCUAAUAAACCAGGCGCCCAUCUGACGGUGAAAAAGAUCUUUGUUGGUGGUAUCAAGGAGGAUACCGAGGAGUACCAUAUUCGGGAGUAUUUUGAGAAAUAUGGAAAGAUUGAAUGCAUCGACAUCAUGGAGGAACGCUCCACGGGGAAGAAGAGGGGAUUCUGCUUCGUCUCCUUUGAUGACCAUGACACUGUUGACAAAAUUGUUGCCCAGAAAUUCCACACAAUCAACUUCCACAACUGUGAAGUCAGGAAAGCUCUGUCUAAACAGGAAAUGAGCGCUAUAUCCAGUAACAGGGGCAGGAGCGGAGGAUCAGGAAAUUUCAUGGGCAGGGGUAGUAAUUUUGGAGGCGGAGGCAACUUUGGCCGAGGUGGCUAUGGUGGAGGACGCGGUGGUUAUGCUGAUGAUUUUGACAAUGGACCCGGAGGAAAUUAUGGUGGUGGACCAGGCUAUGGAGGUGGCCGUGGGGGCUACGGAGGUGGUGGUCCAGGGUACGGAAACCAGGGUGGAGGUUUCGGAGGCAACUGUGAUGGAGGUUACGGAGGCAAUGAUGGAGGAUACGGAGGUGGUGGAAAUUACAAUGACUUUGGAAAUUAUGGUGGACAGCAGUCCAACUAUGGGCCCAUGAAGGGAGGCAACUUUGGUGGCAGAAACUCAGGUGGACCAUAUGGAGGUGGUUACGGCUCUGGUGGUGGUGGCGGAGGUGGCUACGGCUCACGGCGAUAUUAAUUAUUUCAUGUUUUGAUGUGGAAAGAGGCAUUCUCUUCUUGCUGAAAAUCUGUAAAGACCUGAUAACAUGGAAGGUUCUGGAUGGUACAAGAUUCCAUUUGUUUGCUGUUUUGUAAGCCCUUCGGUCAAGCCUUCAAGUCAAGAACUGACUUGAACAUGUGGUAAGUUAUGUAACUAUUCUUUAGACUAUAUAUCCAUCUGGCAUCAAUCUGUUCUGGGCUGUGGCCAGAGUACACUGUAUAAUGCUCUGCUUUCAGAAAACAGGAGGCCUUCUAGCUAUAUGAAUACUUUAUUUAAAAGCAUUAAAGUCAGAUUUUUUUAAAAAACUGGGCAGCAAAUCAUAAAAGGAAAGUUAUAAAGUAAAUAACAAUGAUUGAAACAAUCAUCAGCAUACAGAACUAUGAUAUAUACAAUAUAUAUACACAUACAGUAACAUUUUUUAUCAAUCAAACAAGUAAUGCUUAUAUUUACAAACUACUGGUUAUAGAAUCUGUGAGGGUAUCAGAGUACAAAAGAAGAAAAAUAUCAAAAAUAUUACAACAUUCAAGAGAUGUGAGCAAAAACUAUACAAUAGUUCUGCUGGGCUACUAAUGCUUAAAGCUGAGUGACUACAAAGUUAUUGCAUAGUAUACUAUGAUAAUGCAGUACCAUAUUACAAAGAAGAUAAGUGGUUUUCUUUGCUGUUGUAAGUCUUUUUAAUGCGAGGAACAAGAAAGAUGCUGCCAUCCGUUGACUGCUGCAGGGAGUAGUCCGACGGGGAGUAGGAGUUCCCCUUCUCAUCUCUCAACAUACCAAAGACCUCCAGGUACAAGCUGUUGAGCUGCCGCUUCAUUUCCUUCAGGUCUGUGACGUUCUUGCUCUUCUCGCUCUGCAGACGUGCUUUUUCCUCCUUCAGUGAGUCCAGUUCACCCUCCAGACCCACUAUGUUCUCCAUCUUGCGUUUGCGGCAGUUCUGGGCAGCCACCUUGUUCUUGCCGCGGCGGCGUAUGUCACGGACCAGGGCCAGCUGGGCCUCGUUCAGUUGGUGCUUUGACAUCAUCUCAGUGAAGUCAUCAACGGGCAGAUUGAUAAUCAUGUCAACGGUGAAAGGGAUUUUGAGGGCCUUAGCCCUCUGCUCGUCUCUGGAGAGACGCACAUCAGAGCGUUUCUUCUGCUUGUCUUUGGUGAAGGGAGUGUUGCUGUGACCACUCUCUUCUGCUGGGUCCACCUUGAUGUGUUUGGGUUUCUUUUCCUGCUGAUGUGGCUGCCCAGCGAGGGUAGAUACAGAACCUGCCUGCUCAAGAUCAUCAGGGUGGAAAUUUAAUGAAAACAUCUCAGAGUAGUCAGAUUCUACACUGCCAGGGUUGUGGUCCAUCUCCUCCAUCUCUGAAUCGCUGGAACCAAAGGACCCACUUCCAUAAAGAGACUUCCCAGGUGAGCUAGAAUUUGGACUUGCAUGUGCAGAGAUCCCAGAAUCUGAGUCUGGCAGAUCUGUGGCCAAAUUCUGUUUGCCUCUGUCAAAUGCAUCUCCAGGCGAGAGACUGUAGAGGUCCAUGGUUGUGUAGGGGGCCUUGUCUGAGAUAUCAGAUAUGGUGGUGCUGUCAUUUCCUUCAAUGCUAUGCGGACCACAAGUCUCUUGCAUCAUUGCGUUGGGAUAGAAUAUGUCACAGAAAGGUUCUGCACUGAAGUCAGCAUUUAACUGAGGGGUUUUUGCUUUCAUCUGGCUGAGAUCAUCUGAUGGAGCCAUACUGGGAACAGAGCCACCAAAUGUAUUUAUAAACUCUGCAGGAGCAACAUUUAAACUGUUUGUAUUCCCGUCUGUGAGAGUGGUCAUGGGGUAGAAGGAGUAGUUUGGAUUCUGCACUUCAGGACUGUUUGGAAGAGGAUAAGUUGUGGUCUCCAGUGUGUCCUCCAUUUGCAUGCUCAAGCAAUGCUAGGAAAAAAAAACAGAAAAAUAUAGAACCAUUAAAACUUAUAUCAUCAACACGGAAAUAGCAGGUCAGUUAUCAAACCUUGUUUUGUUUUUGUGCAAAACACAAGAAUGGGAAUGGAUGUAUGUACUGAGAUGAAUGUAUGUGCUCCCAUUUACACCUCCAGUAAUUUCCAAAAUCUGCGACACUAUAUAAAAAUACACCAUUACCAUCCUAUAAAAUCUACUAAAUGAACCCACAUGGCACUCCUUUAAAGUGGGAUUAUUAUCGUUAUUGUCAGAUACCAUUGCAACCUGGGAUAAAUGUGUUGAAAUAAGUUUGGCAUGAAAAGAUAAGUGCUUAAGCCUUAAUCUUCACUAAAGAGGCUAGUAACUCCUGGACCAUUAAGUCAUGUAGUUGUUCCAUUUGACUGGUCUUUCAUAAACAAAUGCUGGUAGAGCUGGUUGUAGCACACGUUAGCCUUUAGUGAUUUCCAAAGCUAGUUAGAUAUCCAGUAAGUGAAAUCUUCUAGCCUCCUGUUGUAGUAAGAUUAAAUGACUCAUUUAUCUCCGUUGAGCAGCUUUCAAGAACUGAACCCAUAUUUGACACAACUUUCACUUAUGACUCUUAUCAGCAGCUUGCCAGAUCAAGUAAUGCAAUACUAUUUAUGAUUAGGAUUAGAGUCCAGUCUGGGGACAUAGUGGGAGGUUAAGGCAAUGAGUGGCACACUGCUCCACCCAUCACCUAAUGCAAAUAUGAGGUGCAAUGAAACCAAACUGAUAAAGCACCCACUGAAAAAACGACUGCACAAAUUUUCACCUUUCUGCCAGUAAGAAAAGGUUUUAAACCUGCCGCACCCUGUCUGCACAAGAUGCAUUCUGGUUCUGCUGGAUGAAGCUAGUGGCAAUUAAUUAUAAAAAAAUGCAUCACACCUUCAACACCCACCUCUCUAAUGCUUUAAAAGGUCUCAACAAUGAAGGCUAAUCGCUGCUGAAUGAUAUGCGUGCACCCAUCUCACAUAUAUGAGACUCCGCUCUCAUAGGGCAAACAAAACAGUGUUUGUCCUCUAAUGCCGGGUUCCUGCUAUUCGUACAUUCUUUGGGUAUUGGUUCCACUACACAGACCGUGAUGCCAUUGAGGUGGUAGAAUCCAUGUAUUGUACCUGCAGCUCAGGGAGGGACAAAAGCUCCAUCCAGGCCUGCUCCAAGUCUGGAGACAUCCUGUGGGGUGAUGGCAUAUGACCCGGGGAGAGGGUGGCUGGCGAUAGAGCUGGCUGCUCGGGGGACAUCAUCAUGUUGCUGCUGAUGGGUACUGAAACGGCAGGUGUGUCCAGGCAAACUGAAGCAUUCUGUAAGGAAAAAAUACAUACAUAACAGUUCUAUGCAACUAAAAGUCAAGUUAAAGGCUGUUAUUUGCGGCAAUAAUUUAGCCAACAUUCUUACCUCAGUUUCCUCUACAGGAAAUGUCUCUGCCAGUAGCUGCAGACAUUCAUCAAACGACAUUGCAUCACCAUUCUCCUCUGUGAAGCUCACAUUCUGCAACAGAAGUUGAAGUACUUGCUGUUGAAUUUAUCACCUAGCAUCCUUUGUGGCAAACCAAUUUUAAAAACAGCACAUGAUUUUUAUAGUGCUUAGGUCUCUAUAGAGUAGUUUCUGGAGCAGAGUACACCAAUGCAAAACUACAGAGCCACCUGUGUUUCUGUAAUUACACAGGAUGAGGUGGUUACCUAGCUACUACACAGCCGGAGCCUAUCAAAAGAGGUGGGAGUGGUCCACCUCUGACAUGACUAAUGAUGGCAUGUGUAUGUACCUGUGUAACCUCUAGAGGUGUGACGGCCGACUGCAGAGGCGUGCUGCUUGGUGGACGAGGUAUGUACUCUCCCGUCUCCUCGUCUAGCUGUAGCUGUGCCAGCAGGGCCUUCUCCUGCUCCCGCAGCAAAUGCAGUCUCUUCUCCUCCUCCAGCUCCCGCUGCCUCUGCAGCUCAUGCUCUUUCUGACGGUGGUUGUAGUCAAACACCUCACGCCUGGCGCCGAGAUCAAUGUCCUGCUUCCAGAGUAUGUCGAUCAUGUCCAUGUCCUGAAAAGACAACCGCAGAUCCAUUUAGAGAGUUGUGAGCAGCCAUGCCGUCCUGCAGUGAGAAUAUGAUCAGCAAUGGAACAAGGAAGAAAGUCCUUGGUGUGAAGCGUGGCAGUAGCACCUGCCACACCCCGUCCCUCAGUAUCUGUGCACAGACAACAACACUGGCACUAAUGUCAAGGGGGAGAAGCCGCAUGAAUAAUGAAUGCGCUUCUCUUUUUCCCUUGUUGCCAUCUCACACCAGCAGAAGACACGUAUCCUCAUCUGAUACUCAGUGGUCAUUACCCAUCCUAUUACACUGAGGUGUGAAUUUGUAUGUCACAUUCAAACCUCCAGUCAGGUAACACUCCCUGCCCACUUUGAAAUGAUCAUGUAGUUUUCAAUUAGUUGACUCAAAUCACACUUACAUUUUGCAGCACUUAAACAUCAGAUCAAUAAAAGGCGUGUAAAGUUUGUCUUCAAGAAUACAGAAUCAUAAUGGUUCAAGUACCUGUUACAUAACAUAAAGGAGAGGAUAUCAGAAAUAAUAUCAAAGUGAUAACAUGCAAUCAAAAGAAAAUGGGAAAAUAACUGUAGAUCUGUUGCUGGGUAGAAUUACAAACCUUAUCUCCUUAAUUUCGCCCUUGUUUUGCCUUCAAGUAAAUAACUACAGCUUUUAAGAGGUGAUCUAAUGACAAUACUGCUCAAUAAUCUUGUCCUAUGUUUAGUAUUUACACAUUAGGCUGCUGACGACUCAGAACAUUUGGCCCAGCUCACAAACAACUAUGAGGUUAUUUCAAUACCGUUUCCUGUAAAUUUCCGUUCAUAGGCCAAAUGUUAUUUGCCUUUUCAAACAAGAAUGUCUAAACAUAAAUCAUGCUGCUAUCUUCAUGUCUCUUUUACCAGAAUUUAUUUACAGAAGGAAACCGUUUCACAAGGCCCUCGGAUGUUGCAUAAAGCCAAAAUGGUGGUUCAUAGGAAAACAUCUGAGCAUGUGACUUGUUUCUUCCUCAGAUUCAGGUAUAAACAUAACUUGUGAGCUAGGCUUUAUAAUCUUCACUUAUAUGGCCAGAAAAGACACAGCCUGGAGGAAGCCAAGAGGGAACUAAGAGAGAAUGAAGUACAAAGCAGAACAAUGCACAAUAAAGAGGAUUUGAAAGUGUUUCAAUGUUUUCUCUGUAGAUAAAAAAAGGUGCGUCAUAAAACUUUUAUUAACUAAAUAGCAUACAAUCACCUAGAAAUAUUCUAGGAGAUUGUUGACAAGGUUUUUUUUUAAUACAAUUGUGGCAUUUCAAAAUAAAAACCCACUAACCCUCUUUGCCUCUGUGUUGCAUCAUCAGCAUGACCGCUAAAGGAUUACACAUUACUAAGGUUGCCUACUAUAAAUCAGACUCACCGACUGAGAGGUGCGCACACAACCAAAAAUUACAGCUUCUGCAGGAAUGAGGAAGUCCCUAAAAUGCCUGUGUGGGACAUCUGAACACACUACUUGAGGUCACUGAUGUUUUCCAAACUAAAAAAAACACACUCUUGUCACACCUAUAAGCUUGUGGGACAAGUCAUACGAGUCUCUUCAAACAAAAAAAAACCAAUCAUUUGUGCCAAAAAAAAGGUCUGUUGUCCACACAAUGGAAGCUCAGUCACCACUCUCAGUGUCACAGAUAGGAAAAGCUGUUAUAAAAUGCCACAGAAUCAAAGUAACUCAACAAAUAACCUGCAUAUACUCUGUAUUAAUAAAAAAUUGUUGGUGUAAAUGCGGAUGAGAUCACGUAUGCGAUUCGAAACACAGCUGUCACAAGACACGGACUGGCACAAGAACAAGGAAACUGGCUCAGAAAACUACUUAGAUUUCCCAGACAUCUCUACCAGACAAUGCUCAACGAUACCAGACAGAUUUCCGUUUAAAAUGGAGCCAAAAUGUGCUCAGCAAGAAAAAUACAUGUUCAAACACACAGAUAUAUUUUUCACCACAAGCCAAACUAAUAGCUAAUGGAUCCUGUGGCCACAAAGUGUGUGUAUGCUAUUAGCGUGGGUUGUUCAUUUACCUCUCUACAGCUAAACACAAGAGGCCUCACAAUUCAGUGGACAUCCACCCUUGACCAAGGAUGAUGAAACACAGCUGCGCAUGUUCCAAAACAGCACUCUGGGCCCUCAUCAGUCAACUUUGUACUACCACUGACCCUCUCUUGUGACAGGCUUAAUCCGGCACUAAAGAUGUAAGGCCACCUCACAUUAAAAGCUCAGUUCGUCAUUUCAUUCACUGUAUAUAAACAUAUGUGGGAACACAAGCCGAGGCUGCAUUUCAUUGGUUCCUUUACAUGACAAUAUCCGCUGAAAAACAAAAUUAUCACAGUGGUCAGAGGCUCGACUGUAUCAGAUAUGGGAUCACAUGCUUGGAGGAAGGGGGAGGAGGAGGGACACAGUUACGAGAAACAGCUCAAGAGGGGUUUUUUUUUGUUGUUGUUUACUAAACUUGUGGGGAUGAAACAAAUAAGGCAAUUUUAUUCUGAAAAUCGACUACAUCACUAUUAUCAUCCUGUUUUUUUUCUCCUGUCGAGGAGAAACGUCACAAGUGGAUGACUUGCAGAACAGAGGGUAACCUUAAUAUUUUAACGCUGUAUUAUGUCGGAGCUACAACUCAUUAACUACGCCAUAAGUUGACUGUCACAACAAACGAGUCAUUUAGUUUGGGGUAACACGAAAAAGUUUAUCUGAACUCUGCCUCCAUACAAAAAGGGAAGUUGACAACCCAUGUCAGCCAGUCUGUCUGUCUGACGGAAUACUUUUAAAAAAAGAAAUACUCUAAUUACCUGUUGACUGGAACGCAUCACCUCCAUUUCCAUCAUCAUGGAGAGCUGUCCCGCCGGUACAAAAAAGACGUCUUAUCACUGAUAAAUGUUUGUGUUAUUCCUCGAAUGGCUGAUGAAAAUGGCGAGCGGUCCGAAGCCAAUAUAGUCCUUCGCGGCAGCUGAGCUCAGGGAAA